rnacentral:lncRNA from 1 species
UUCCAACCAGGGAGAUUUCUGCCCCCUAGAAGACAUUUGGUGAUGUGUGGAGACAUUUUUGAUUGACACAACUGGAUGGGGGAUGCAUUGCUACUGGCAUGCAAUGGGUAGAGUUGGGGUGCAGAUAUCCUCCCAUAACAUCUUCCCACAGCUAUGGCAGCAAUAGUGCUACAGCUGGGAAACCUGUUGUAGUGCAGCAUGCUGUAGGGCAGAAAGGAGAGAAGAGGAAGUAUGGCCCUGCUUGGAAGAACAUCCAAGGUGUUCCUAAAUACACACACAAUCAGAGAAGAGUGCGACUUGGCUGUUUGGUUGUCAUCCCUCACUUUUGACCUCCGGUAUCUCCACAGGCUGGUCUUUGCUGCUUCCAGUGCUGCAUGUGAUGGCUUCAGGGCCUGGGUUCUCUGGAAUCAAUCUAGCAGAGAUCUGGCUUAAAAAAUUCAUCACUUCCUGCUGUACAUCAGGGACCAGAACAUUAUUACUUGCUUUUAUAGACCUUAAAAUCAGAAUUGUGGAUUUAUGACUCAUUGAGGCUUAGCAAGCUGGAGGGAUGGUGCCUUUAUCAUAUCUGUUGAUCUAGUAAUCUCUAAUUCCCUCAAUUGUAUCCCUCCUAUUAGAUUUCUAAAGCUGUCUGCCAGGCCAAAGUGGUUUUUUGAGUCAGAAAGGAAUGUUAGAAUUUUCAUCCUUUCAAUGUCAUACUCCAUUUGGGACAUUACAAAACUUCAUGAAUCCCACGAGUUAUAAAUCUUUGAAAACACAGUUCUUUUUAUUUAUUCAUUCAAUCAUCUUCCACCUAGAUUGAUCUAGAUGAGCCAACUGGGAGAUUCUAGUAAGCAUCUAUGGCUGCACCUGGACCCAAAGACCAGUAUUGAUGCUGAGGCAGAGACAUGUAUUUCAAAUCUUACCCUCUUUUAUGGUGACAUGAAAAACUUUUUAAAGAAUUAGGCACUAAAUAUGUGUGGUUCCAAAGUGUCUGUCAUGCCUUACUUCCUUGUUUACCCAGACAUGUAACCACUGUUAUGUCUCUUGCAUAUUCCUCCAGAGGUUUUUUUUAUAUACA